rnacentral:lncRNA from 1 species
CUGCUUGUAUGUCUGAGAGGUGGGCAAUCUUCCACGGAAGCUUACAUCAAAAUAUAGCAGUUAAGUUUUUAAAGUGCUACAACAUCUUCUCUCCCUCUUUUCUUUCUUUUGUGUGUGUGUGUGUUUCUCUUGAUUGGUUUAUUCCUUAGCAGCAAUGGAGUCAGUUACAGAAUACAGCCUUUUAUGGAAGUUAUGCCAUCUCAGAAAAUGAGACGCACUCUAUGGAAGGAAUUUUAGAAAAGCUGCUCCUAGAUGCAACCCUGAUUCCUCCCACUGCCAUUAAUCAUGUCAGGUAUCAUUCGUAUCGGAGCGUUGCACAGUUCAAAACCAAAGACGCACAGGAAAUACAGGCAAAAUCAAAACCCAAUUAAAAUCUCAUGACAAUCAGGCUAAUUUUUGACCCAAAGCGGUUAGAGCUUGAGAUGAGCGCAGAAAGUUUCCCCAGACUUCAGCCAUUCUCCAGGGGUUUGGUGUCCAUGAAGUGCGUGCUGAGCAGUUGAUGAAAUAAUAUACUGUACAGUACUGUAUUAUAACUAAGCCACAGGUCCCUGUAUAAAUUGGGCCUGGGAAGCAUCGAAGGGGCAACAGAAGCGGGUAUGUAGAAGGAAAAGGCUGCAGAAAUAUUGCAAAAAAAGAGAGCUCUCCGUCUCCCUCUUCUAUCAAUGGCCAAAAAGUAGCAACUCCGAUGCUCAUCUUUGGACUCCGGAAGCAAUGGAGGUUUACCAGGAGCCUGGCAUGGCUUCAGUCACGUGACGGGAAGCGGGGAACAGGCUGGGCAGCCAACAGAAGGAUCCAUUCAGAGAGUAAAAAAGGGAAGCGGUGCGACGCCCGAACCCCAUCCCUUGUUUCUCCUGCAGGCUUCCUGCAAAUCGUGAAGGCGAUCCGUGGGGAGAAGGGGGGAUUUCUACUUGGGAAGCCUGUUUUUAUUUCCUCGCUUCAACCAGACCUGUAGUUUCCAGAUCAGCCCAUCUUGGAGAACAUGGAGGACACAUCACCCCAUUUCUCAGGUGAAAACAGAAUGUGUACAUGUUUGCAAUACUUCACAUAUUUACAAUAAAUGCUAGAGGAGGAGUGGAUGCUGAGAGUCC